AACGAACGCUGGCGGCAUGCCUAACACAUGCAAGUCGAACGAAGGCUUCGGCCUUAGUGGCGCACGGGUGCGUAACGCGUGGGAAUCUGCCCUUUGGUUCGGAAUAACAGCUGGAAACGGCUGCUAAUACCGGAUGAUGACGAAAGUCCAAAGAUUUAUCGCCAGAGGAUGAGCCCGCGUUGGAUUAGGUAGUUGGUGGGGUAAAGGCCUACCAAGCCGACGAUCCAUAGCUGGUAUGAGAGGAUGAUCAGCCACACUGGGACUGAGACACGGCCCAGACUCCUACGGGAGGCAGCAGUGGGGAAUAUUGGACAAUGGGCGCAAGCCUGAUCCAGCAAUGCCGCGUGAGUGAUGAAGGCCCUAGGGUUGUAAAGCUCUUUUACCCGGGAAGAUAAUGACUGUACCGGGAGAAUAAGCCCCGGCUAACUCCGUG
rnacentral:rRNA from 1 species